rnacentral:misc_RNA from 1 species
GAUGAAGACGCAGCGAAAUGCGAUAAGUAAUGUGAAUUGCAGAAUUCAGUGAAUCAUCGAAUCUUUGAACGCACAUUGCGCCCGCCAGUAUUCUGGCGGGCAUGCCUGUUCGAGCGUCAUUUCAACCAUCAAGCCCCCGGCUUGUGUUGGGGACCUGCGGCUGCCCGCAGGCCCUGAAAACCAGUGGCGGGCUCGCUGUCACUCCGAGCGUAGUAGCAUAUAUCUCGCUCAGGGCGUGCUGCGGGUUCCGGCCGUUAAAAGCCUUUUUUUACCCAAGGUUGACCUCGGAUCAGGUAGGAAGACCCGCUGAACUUAAGCAUAUCAAUAAGCGGAGGA